GAGUAACUGGAAAUGUAGCAACAUAGAAAAUUUAUUAGAAGAGAAAAAGCAAGCAGCAAGAGCCUAAAACGGGAAAAAAGUAGAGAUAGAACAGGAGUUGCAAUUCUGUAAUGUGGCAAUUUCACAUGCAGCUUCUGGUUUAGAUUGUUUGUUAAAGGUUAUGCAUUUUACAUAUGUUUUUCUAACAGGAAAAUUUUUGUAUGUGGUUAGAGUAGUGUG
rnacentral:misc_RNA from 1 species